GAGGUUCGACUCGAGCGAAGCGAGAGAACGUUGCGUCAGCAACGGCCCGCAGGGCGAGCCACGAAGUGGUGAGUCAUCCUCUAUCACCGACCA
rnacentral:sRNA from 1 species